rfam:Gossypium hirsutum cultivar TM-1 chromosome 11, whole genome shotgun sequence
AUUCCAUGAUAAGGGCAUAUUUGUAACAGUUCUUUAAAUCUUUUCCACACCUCAUACAAGGACUCGUCAUCCAUCUGUUGGAAGGUAGUUAUCUUGUUUAGCAACU